rnacentral:rRNA from 1 species
UACGAAGGGUGCAAGCGUUACUCGGAAUUACUGGGCGUAAAGCGUGCGUAGGUGGUUUGUUAAGUCUGAUGUGAAAGCCCUGGGCUCAACCUGGGAACGGCAUUGGAAACUGGCUUACUAGAGUGCGGUAGAGGGGUGUGGAAUUCCCGGUGUAGCAGUGAAAUGCGUAGAUAUCAGGAGGAACACCGGUGGCGAAGGCGGCUUUCUGGACAGUUACCGACGCUGAGGCACGAAAGCUAGGGGAGCAAACAGG